rnacentral:rRNA from 1 species
UGGAUGAUGUGGUUAAUUCGAUGCAACGCGAAAACCUUACCACCUUUGACAUGUACGGAAUCCUUUAGAGAUAGAGGAGUGCUCGAAAGAGAGCCGUAACACAGGUGCUGCAUGGCUGUCGUCAGCUCGUGUCGUGAGAUGUUGGGUUAAGUCCCGCAACGAGCGCAACCCUUGUCAUUAGUUGCUACAUUCAGUUGGGCACUCUAAUGAGACUGCCGGUGACAAACCGGAGGAAGGUGGGGAUGACGUCAAGUCCUCAUGGCCCUUAUAGGUGGGGCUACACACGUCAUACAAUGGAUGGUACAAAGGGUCGCCAACCCGCGAGGGGGAGCCAAUCCCAUAAAGCCAUUCGUAGUCCGGAUCGCAGUCUGCAACUCGACUGCGUGAAGUCGGAAUCGCUAGUAAUCGUGGAUCAGAAUGUCACGGUGAAUACGUUCCCGGGUCUU